rnacentral:misc_RNA from 1 species
AGGAACCUCCAAUUACAGCUACUGGUGAUAACCUGUACAAACAUCUCAGUUCACCUAAUGUGUCGACCAUGUAAAUUUGUGUUCCUGGAAUAAUCCUUUGAUGUUGAGACCUCAAAGCUACAUUUUGCCCUUCUUUCUGCAAUUCCUGAGCGAUCUCUAGUCCAUGCUGUGGAUUACGAGGUACAAUUAUAGUGACUAGAUCGGGGUAUACUUGUAUGAGUGCUUUGUGAACUCCCAGCAUAACUUUUUCUUCACCCCGAUGUAUGGAAGAAGCCAUCCAAACGUGUCUUGAGGCAAGCUGUCCUUUCAGAUCCUCUAUGCUUCCUGUCUCUCCAUUAGAAGCAUCACAUUCUAUUGCUGAAAGCAAGCAACAUAUUUCAAAUCACCAGAAAAGUUGAUGAUAAAAGGCGGGGCCUGCAAAAUCUGGAAGCGAAUUGCCUGCAUAGAACUCAGUGGGAUGAUCAGGGAAAAUUUAGAAAGCAUUAGUGAAAUCAGCGGAAGAAGCACUGGUUGAGACCAUAACCUAAAGGAUUUCAUAGACACUCGAGCAUUCAACAAUGCCAGUGAAAUUUUUUUCUCCCCACAUUAGAAUGCCUCAGGAAGCAGUGCACAUAUUAAGGGGUUACUCACACCCUUUCUUGAUGAACCCAUGAUAAGAUUCGGCCAUAGUUCGCUCUCCAAUAUCAUGAUUGCAUUUGGCUUCCAA